rnacentral:sRNA from 1 species
GGAUUCAGGUGAUGGAGGUGUUUUAUGAGCACACACAAAACAAGUGAUACAUGUUUUUGUCUCCACUUAAGAUGAAAGGAAUUUUCUUCUUUGACCACAGUGUUUCACACAAGAUCUCCCAGCUGGACGUUCAAAAUAGCUUUUGAUGUCUUAGGGCGUCUUUUAUUCAACCCUAG